rnacentral:rRNA from 1 species
GAUGAACGUUGGCGGCGUGCCUAAUACAUGCAGGUCGAGCGAACAGACGAGGAGCUUGCUCCUCUGACGUUAGCGGCGGACGGGUGAGUAACACGUGGAUAACCUACCUAUAAGACUGGGAUAACUUCGGGAAACCGGAGCUAAUACCGGAUAAUAUAUUGAACCGCAUGGUUCAAUAGUGAAAGACGGUUUUGCUGUCACUUAUAGAUGGAUCCGCGCCGCAUUAGCUAGUUGGUAAGGUAACGGCUUACCAAGGCGACGAUGCGUAGCCGACCUGAGAGGGUGAUCGGCCACACUGGAACUGAGACACGGUCCAGACUCCUACGGGAGGCAGCAGUAGGGAAUCUUCCGCAAUGGGCGAAAGCCUGACGGAGCAACGCCGCGUGAGUGAUGAAGGUCUUCGGAUCGUAAAACUCUGUUAUUAGGGAAGAACAAAUGUGUAAGUAACUAUGCACGUCUUGACGGUACCUAAUCAGAAAGCCACGGCUGACUACGUG